rnacentral:rRNA from 1 species
CCUACGGGAGGCAGCAGUGGGGAAUAUUGGACAAUGGGGGGAACCCUGAUCCAGCCAUGCCGCGUGUGUGAAGAAGGCCCUCGGGUUGUAAAGUACUUUCAGUGAGGAAGAACGCCUGGUGGUUAAUACCCAUCAGGAAAGACAUCACUCACAGAAGAAGCACCGGCUAACUCCGUGCCAGCAGCCGCGGUAAUACGGAGGGUGCGAGCGUUAAUCGGAAUUACUGGGCGUAAAGCGCGCGUAGGUGGCUUGAUAAGCCGGUUGUGAAAGCCCCGGGCUCAACCUGGGAACGGCAUCCGGAACUGUCAAGCUAGAGUGCAGGAGAGGAAGGUAGAAUUCCCGGUGUAGCGGUGAAAUGCGUAGAGAUCGGGAGGAAUACCAGUGGCGAAGGCGGCCUUCUGGACUGACACUGACACUGAGGUGCGAAAGCGUGGGUAGCAAACAGGAUUAGAUACCCUUGUAGUC